CCAGACAAGAGCAGGAGCUCCAAUCUACAACAAGGAUAAAAACCCAAAAGAGAGUCCAGGCUUUAUGAUGUUUUUGAUUUCCACCCUUCCUGAAGCUAAAGAUUUCUGCUUCCUGGAGAUGGGAUGGAUGCUUUUUCCCCUAUUUAUUUCACUGAGAACUAAAACCACAAGCCUUAUAUAGAAAACAAACAUAAGAAGACAAAAAGAUGGAGAGAAGACCGACUGGCUGGAGACCUGGGGACCGAAGAAGGACACAUUGAGUUAAAGCUGGAAAAAGGAAAUUGCUCUACACUUCAUAUAAGAGAAUAUGUAAAAGAAAAACAAUAGCAAUGAGGAAAAAGUGGAACUUACUGGGGCACCAUCAUGAAAGUGGCAGAGAAAGAAUCCAGAAGGAAAUGAAGAAGGAAUGGACAGAGGAAUCUUCUUUACAUCCCCAAGCAAGUUCAUAGCUGAAGAUGCUGCUGACCCAUGAAAAUCUCACUUUAUAUCUGUGUUUACAAAUGUAUCGUGCUUCAAACUCUCGGAGAAGUAAAUACUUGGGGACCUAGGGAAUAAAGAGGCACCUGCGGAGCACAACACCCACUUUAUGCCAGUUUCAGAAAUCAGAGGAAGAAGCUUGCUGCCAAGCCUGUGCAGUGGUUGGUAGUAAACUGAAUGAAGAUGGUCAAAUUGGCUGUGGAAGCAUCUGUUGAAAUGGAGCCUAGAGUCCUGUGUGAUGAGGAUUUCAAUCUGUGUUGGAAUGUAGCAUGAACAAGAAAUAAACUUUACUGACAACAGAUGUACCAAGCCCAAAAGUCUCAGCUAACUUGAUGGGAUAAGAAAAAUGUUCAAAUAGAAUCAAAAUACUGAAGCAGCUUGAUACCGACCAUAUUAAAGUAAGGCAUGCUGUAUGCUCGUGUAAAGCACAAAUCCCCCAAUUUCAGUGCCUUAAUAAAGUUUAUUUCUCCCUCACA